rnacentral:rRNA from 1 species
AGAAUCAACGCUGGCGGCGGUGCCUAACGACGAUGCAAGUCGAACGAGAAAGGGACUUCGGUCCUGAGUAUAGUGGCGCACGGGUGAGUAACACGUGAAUAAUCUACCUCCGAGUGGGGAAUAACCAAGAGAAAUCUUGGCUAAUACCGCAUAACACUUACGAGUCAAAGCAGCAAUGCGCUUGGAGAGGAGUUCGCGGCAGAUUAGUUAGUUGGCGGGGUAAUGGCCCACCAAGACGAUGAUCUGUAUCCGGCCUGAGAGGGCGCACGGACACACUGGAACUGAAACACGGUCCAGACUCCUACGGGAGGCAGCAGUGGGGAAUUUUGCGCAAUGGGGGAAACCCUGACGCAGCAACGCCGCGUGGAGGAUGAAGUAUCUCGGUACGUAAACUCCUUUCGAUGGGGAAGAUAAUGACGGUACCCAUAGAAGAAGCCCCGGCUAACUUCGCGCCAGCAGCCGC